rnacentral:ncRNA from 2 species
CGAAGUUCCAAGGGGUGUCCCUACUAUUUGUAGGGGCUGAGACGGCUGAGAGAGCCGAACCCUUUGAACCUGAUCCGGGUCAUGCCGGCGAAGGGACUGGGACGUUGCGCGGCA